rfam:Calypte anna contig30051, whole genome shotgun sequence.
UGGGAGGCUGAUACACAACAAGAGCUCAAUCUGCUCUGAGUGUCACAUGUUCUCCCUAGAGUAAAAUCUCCCUUUCAUCUCCCUUCUGAUGACCGGGACGAAUUGAGAGGAAUUGUAAGGGACAGAUAGGGGGCACACAACA